AGCGGCUGCCCAGCCAAUGAAGAGGGCUGAUCCAAACUCAAAUCUGGUGUUAACAGGUGUGAAAGGGUCAUAGAAGGCCCGAGCCACUCUGUUGCCAUACCAUGACGUGGCCACCAGUGCUGACAGACCUGCAAUGAUGAAGAUCACGCCACCAAAGACAGCCAUCCGCAUCUUCUUCACCUGGUCAUCCUCCAUGCACUUCAUGCACUUCAUGCCCGUCACAGCAA
rnacentral:lncRNA from 1 species